GUGCUCACUUCAACAGCACCUAUACUAAAAUUGGAAUAAUACAGAGAAGAUUAGCAUGGCCCCUGUGCAAGAAUGAAAUGCAAUUUGUGAAGAAUCCUAUAUUUUU
ensembl:snRNA U6 U6 spliceosomal RNA